rnacentral:rRNA from 1 species
UACAGAGGUAGCAAGCGUUGUUCGGAAUGACUGGGUGUAAAGCGCGUGUAGGCGGUCUUGUAAGUUGAAUGUGAAAUCUCCGGGCUCAACCCGGAAACGGCAUUCAAUACUGCUUGACUUGAGUGCGAAAGAGGAAAGUGGAAUUUCGGGUGUAGCGGUGAAAUGCGUAGAUAUCCGAAGGAACACCGGUGGCGAAGGCGACUUUCUGGUUCGCAACUGACGCUGAGACGCGAAAGCUAGGGGAGCAAACAGG